UUGGAGGGCAAGUCUGGUGCCAGCAGCCGCGGUAAUUCCAGCUCCAAUAGCGUAUAUUAAAGUUGUUGCAGUUGAAAAGCUCGUAGUUGAAUUUCGGGACCAAUUUGUUGGUCGUGCCUCGGUACGUACUGGUAUUAUUGGUUUCUCCCUUCUGAAGAACCUUGAUGUCAUUAAUUUGGUGUCUUGGGGAAUCAGGACUGUUACUUUGAAAAAAUUAGAGUGUUUAAAGCAAGCUAACGCUUGAAUACAUUAGCAUGGAAUAAUGAAAUAGGACGUUCGAUCCUAUUUUGUUGGUUUCUAGGAUUGACGUAAUGAUUAAUAGGGAUAGUUGGGGGCAUUAGUAUUCAAUUGUCAGAGGUGAAAUUCUUGGAUUUAUUGAAGACUAACUACUGCGAUAGCAUUUGCCAAGGAUGUUUUCAUUAAUCAAGAACGAAAGUUAGGGGAUCGAAGACGAUCAGAUACCGUCGUAGUCUUAACCAUAAACUAUGCCGACUAGGGAUCGGAUGAUGUUAAUUUUUUAAUGACUCAUUCGGCGCCUUACGGGAAACCAAAGUGUUUGGGUUC
rnacentral:rRNA from 1 species